GUGCUCGCUUCGGCAGCACAUAUACUAAAAUUGGAAUGAUACAGAGAAGAUUAGCAUGGUCCCUGUGCAAGAGUAAUUGGUACAGCCAUUUGAAAUCAUUUGGCUAUUU
rnacentral:snRNA from 1 species